AAGAAUCCUCUGCCUUCUCUGACAGAGGAACAAAUUCUUUUCAGAGCUCCAUCAAGGCACGCCUCUGAGAGAGCAGGUUAAGGAAGGCACUCCCACUACUACGGCAGACCAUGAGGGGGGCCUGCUGAGGGAUCCCCACCAGGAAGCCUGUUGCCACCGGCAAGUCACACAUCACCCCGACACCACCCAGGACCUGGCUGCAGGCCAAACCUACCUCACAAACCUUACAAAGAGCCAGCCACUGGUGAGGUCUGGUGCUGCCAGGCCAGGGUCCUGGGGCCAAGGGUGAGGAAAAGCUCACAACGCGACAGGCUAUUUCUGAGUUCUCUCUUCAGCUUGUUUCCUCACUAAGUUACUUUGACACCACACCUGUUUCUGUUCUAGUCUGGAAGCCUCCGCAGCAUGGCAGAUGGUAGAGUGUUUACAUAACGAAUGUUCUCUGGGGUCAGUCUGUGGAGGUGGCAGCGGGACUAUGACAGGUGGGACAGGAGGGCAGCAGGACCCCUCUCCCAAGGAAGCAGUGUCACCAUCCAUCCCUGACUUUGCUGGAGAAACUUCCCACCCUGUGGAGGCCGGAGUAUGUCCUCAGCUCUGUUCCUCCUUCUGACAGUCACAUCCCGGACACCACGAUUCAGCGGCUGCCAACAGGAAGCUACAAAGGAAAUCUUGUGGUGGCCUUAAAAAAUAAUAAUAAAAAGAGAACAAAACCUCAUCACAUUUAAAACUUACCUCCAAUCUCAGUUCCAAGGAAACUUCCAAUUUUGUGCUCUUAAAUGGAACCUGAGAUUUAACUCUUUGAAGUCUAAGCCUUUUAAUUCUCCAAUCUCAACGUCUCAUGUUUCCUAAUUUUAUCUUCAAGUCAAAAUGAGUCUUUUGAAGAGGGAAGUGAAAUUUCACAGCUGACCAAAAUGAGUUCAUGUGAACGUCGAGGGUGGUUUAAGGUCAUACCUGGUCCUCAGAGGUGGAGGAAAUCCCCACUUUCUGUGAUGAAAAUUUAACACCAGAAUAAAGUUCUCUCUUGGCUGGGUUAUGGGGGAAAUACUUUCUCAAUCAUGCUAUUGUACAUUUUUUAAAUGGACAAAAAAAUCUUUUUUAAAAAAUUCAGGAUUAGUAACUUUCUGCUUCUAAAAGGAGCAAACACCCGUCUCAGAGGCACAUGCUUGGCAGACAGUAUGUGUGUCUGGAUGUGACACACACGCUCCCCCACCCUCCCGGGACACUGGGUAGACUCCACUGCUUGCAAAAUCUAGCUCUGCACACUCAGUGCCAUUUGUUACCCCUUGAUCACACUGCUUGGAAACCAGCGUGCUUCCAUUAGUAAGAAUUCUGGACCCAUUAAUGGGAUGACAGGAAGGGUUGGAAACCAACUGGAAUUCACUCUCGCUCCUCUCCAGGGGUUUCUCUUUAAGUUCUCAUGAGCCUCGCCUGACACAGGGGUGAUGGAGAGGAAGACCCGAGAGGAUGCUCUCUUGGAGGGUAAGGACUGCAUCGCCCCAUGCCUGUUGUCAUCCACCAAAGCUAGUAGAGAGGCUGGCGAGCACUAGAGUUCUCAAUAAAUCACCAGUAAAUAAAAAUACAGUGUGCCAAGAACUGUGGGGAGAGUUCCCCAUUCAUAGCUUUUUCUGAUAUUCACAAAAUCCUGUGCAAGGGGGAGUCAUCUCCUUCCAAUGUCAUGGACAAGGAAACAAAGGCAACAAGAGUUAUGCCACUGGCCUAAAGCCACACAUCUAAGAGUCAAUGGAGCCAGACUUUGAAUCCACAGAGCAAACAAUUCCUGUGAGUGAGAGACACAAGUUCCAAGGUAUAUCUCCCAAAUGGGGAGAACAAGAUUUUUUGCAACCUGCCUCAAGAUUUAUCCCAUCCACUCACAUUAGUAAUUCUACCUGCCCCUGAAUGAAGGUGGAAGACAGCAAUUCAGGUAAGGCCAGUAGAGCACCUACAGACAGGUGACAGGGCCCAGGAGACCCCUGAUAUGAAAUGGAACAUUUUGUGUGUAUACCUGAGUUUUAUCCACAGAAAAAGUUCAUAGCUUUCCAACUUCAAAGAGUCUAUGAUCCUUCCAACCCCCAGAAUUUAAUGAGUUAGCCGCUUUUCAUUAAAUUAUGCUUCUAAUUGUCACCCCCAAAGAGUCAAAGGGUUCUAGGUGACUUUUAUAUGCCUGCUAGAGGGAAAAUAAUUAGCGUGAAAGCUUGGUGGGUAUUAGACAUGAGAACAGUCAGUCUCUGAAAACACCCUUGGUGUGGAAAGAGCCCCCACAGAUCGUCACUUAAUUAAGAAUAUUAGUUCAGAAUUCAUUCCGUUGCUAACAUUUGUCCACAGUGAGAUCAAAGAGCAGCUCUAUCAAUUUAUUGCCCAGCUGGGCUUGCGGAUAGUGACAUCAUAGGAUCCCGUAUCAUUGACCAGUGGUCAGUGGUCUUCAAAAUAUGAGAAGGAGCCAAUAAAUCCCCACCAUGCAGCAGUGCCUGUAACUGUCAACAACGUAUUUCUAACCAUCUAGUUUUCUACAGUCUUCAUGUGCAGCAUGAACACCCAGCCCUGAGGCUCUAUACCAUCAACAUGUUCAACAAACACUGACUGAAAGCCUACUAUGUACCAAGGACUGCAGUUAGACACUUCCUAUGCCAUCUGGAUGCCCCCAUGUGAUUCUUGACAACGUGUUUAAAAUAGAAGAAUCCCCAGAGCACACCUAGAUGUAGGGACAAGCUUGGCAAAGGAGGAAAAGCCAGGUCAUAUACAUAGUUAAAGUCACCAGUGAGUCCUUAGAAGGACAAGAGCACAUUUCGUCCAAUUCCUAUAAGGUUUCUAGGCAGAAGAAGAAACACAGGAUUAGACCAGAGUGCCCAGACUCCAGAGAGAUAAAACAAAAGAGCCAAGAUUCCAGUCUUGUGACUGCUGGUUCACAGGAAGAGAAGAGGAAGAGGGGGAGGAAGAGAAGAAAAUGGGAAAGGAACAACAUACUUUUCUAAUUGGAGUUAUCUAAAAGUGGAAUAAGAUGGCUGGUAACAAGUAAGCUAGAUGUCUCUAGAAGACUCUUACAGGAUUUAUACAAGGGAUGAAGGUAAAGCUGAAACUAUGCAACAUGAAAGAUGAAUGAGUAAAAGAUGAUUGUAUUAAAAUACAACGAGACACGUACAUCUUGUCAGUGUGUAACCCUUUAAAACUAGUACGUUGAUGAUGUUGUUUGCAGUGAAGAACGUGAUGUUCACAAGUCAACUUAACACAAAUUACACGUUUACCAUGGCUAUUCCUGUAAUGACCUUGGGAGUUGACUCAUAGUCUUCCUUACCCUGAUGAGCCUGCUGAAUAUCAAUUAGGAAACAGGUCCAGAUACGUGGAUGCUACGGUGGGAUAUUUGAAUGUGAACCUUAGGAUAAAUGGAUUUCAUCACGAAGUAAAAGAGUGUUUGGCUCAGUCAUCAAAUCCUUAUGAUUCCAACUGCUUUUGGAUCUUAAUUAUUUUACUAAUGGCUUCAGUGUAAAA